rnacentral:lncRNA from 1 species
AAAACUUCAUAUCCUUGUGUCUCUCUUUCACAUCGUGACCAUCUUCUCUUGUUCCCCCUCCCCCUCUCUCUCAGAGCUAAUAGGAUAAAGAACAGAGUAUAUAUAUAUAUUUUUUUUUUCUUUUGAAAAAAAUUUCUGGAGCAGAGUAGAGCCACAGUUCCCACUAUCGUGCCACUCUCCGAUGAACUUGACAAACUCACCAGUUGUUUUCAUCUUAGCAAAACAGGUUUUCUUUUUUUUUUUUCCUUCAAACUUUUCAAAACUGAAGUUACUUUUCUGUCUUCAAACUUUUCGAAACUAAAGUUAGUUUUCUGUAACUAUUAAAAUCGAAAACUGAUAAAUUUAAUUUUUUUAAUAAUUAAAAUCUACUGCAAGUAUAUCUCUUUGCUUGUCCCCUUUAUCUCUCUUUCUACAUGUAUAAAUCUUUACAUAUCAAAGAGCACCAAAACUUUCUCUCUUUACAUGUAUAGAUCUACAUCUCAAACAUUAGUAACUGAAUAGAAAUUAUUUUCUG